rnacentral:tmRNA from 1 species
GACCUUUUCAUUAAUCGCGAAGUCCCUAUAUGGGGAAUUGCCGGCCUCGGUCGGCUAUGGGGAUAAACGAAGGCGUGCAAUAGGCGCAGCGGACGCGGGGGCAGUACCCGCCGGCUCCACCACCAGCCACUUGCAAAGGCGGUUGAUGACGGGGCCGAACUAGGAUCGACGUGUGUUGAAAAGCGCCAUCCAUCUCUCAGCCUGGGCCACUGUGACGGUCUGAAACACAAGUGCCAACGAUAACGAAGCACUCGCUAUUGCGGCGUAACCCCAAGGCUUAACGGCCUAAGGUUAUUCUAAAAUGCGCGGUUGGACCCCACCGGGCAACAGAAGGGGAAUCCA